rnacentral:rRNA from 1 species
GACGUAGGAGGCGAGCGUUGUCCGGAUUUACUGGGCGUAAAGAGCGCGCAGGCGGUCGUACAAGUCGCGUGUGAAAGCCCCCGGCUCAACUGGGGAGGGUCACGCGAUACUGUUCGACUCGAAGGCAGGAGAGGGUAGUGGAAUUCCCGGUGUAGUGGUGAAAUGCGUAGAUAUCGGGAGGAACACCAGUGGCGAAGGCGACUACCUGGCCUGUUCUUGACGCUGAGGCGCGAAAGCUAGGGUAGCAAACGGG